ACCAGGCGGACCAGGUAACCCACUGUCACCUUUUUGACCAGCAGGACCCUAUAAGACAAUGAAAGAAAUGAAGUGCUGACCAUACUACACAAUGUUAAAAGUAACACACACAGAAGUUAAAGAACAAAAAAUAUGGAUGCAAACUACUUACACUGGAUCCUUUGGAACCUUUUGGACCUUGGGGACCCUAUGGGCAAGAACACAGAACUGUAGUUGGAGUGUAUGUCACACAAUCGGGGAGUGUUUAGAACAGGAGGACUGGAUGAAAUUACUUACAGGUAAACCAGGAGGACCAGGGGGUCCAAGUGGACCUGCAGGGCCGGAAAUUCCCUAAGACAGAGUAAGAGACUCCAGGAUACCAGAUGUGGAUUAAAACUUCACAAUUACUAUAAGACUAUGUGAAGCUGAGUAGACACAGUAAGUUGUCUUGCUUUCUGAUACAAAACCUCUACUGUUUCUUCUGCUAAUUUUAUAAAGCUUUUAGACUGGAUAAAAAUUACAAAUGUACAAACAAUGACUCCAUUAUACCUUCUCUCCUUUGGAACCUGGAUCUCCUUUCAAGCCAGGCAGGCCAGGUGGACCCUAAAUAAAUCAAGGGAAGCAAUGUUAAAGUGGAUCCAAUGUAAGCUGAUGCUUAUAGAAUCUAUUGGAAAACUCUGCUGCAGUCUUACUAGCUGGGAAACCACUGCAAAGGAGAAACAUCCACACAGAUAGGUCUUUUUUUGCACCUCCCUUGCAAAAACCACUGAAUAACCUUGUUCUUAUAACUUGACACAAGCUUAUUUUCCCUGCCACUGUUUUUUUUUUUGUAGCUUUACUGGGUCAUAAGAACAACCCACUGAAGACACUACUUUAUCAGUUGUAAAAAUCCGGAGAGAUGUCACAGAAAAAGUCUCUAUAUGAAGCUUGUUAAAAUCACCUUGGCUUGCCUUUUUUUUUUUUUACUAUUUUAAUCCUUACUUAUCAUUUUAGAAGAAUUUUGAGGGAUUUGAGAAAUACUCUGAACUUCACAAGAAUGGCAGUGCUGGUUUUCUGUAAUUUGUACUGAAUGAGGUGAAAAAAUUCAGGCUAUGCAGCGCACAUGCAAUCCCAGAAAAAGCAUUCAUUUCUCAGAGACUAUGCAUCUGGACACUGAACACUUCUGCCAUCAGGUGUAGAGCUACUAGACUCAGUCAGUAUCUCAUCGCUGCUAGUCUCCUGCUGGCAGUGGACACCUGAGAAGUGAUGAUAUGGACAGCAAUAAUAAGUGACCUUUUCAACCAGGCACAGAUUCAAAAGUGCUGUAACAGUUCAUGUACAAAAUACUAUUCAGUGCAUACCCUUUCCAUCUCUACUUCAGGUAUCAUUAGGUGCAAAAGCCUAGGCAAAUACAUAAUUCAUGAAUGAAAAGUGGAAUUUUUAAGCUUCUAGAAUACAGAAUCAGAUAUUUUCACCUGCAGUGUGUUGUGCUCUGCUGCAAAUCUGCUUUCAUAUUCUUCUCCCUAUAGCAAUCUACUGUGGAGGGAGGAACGUGAAGGAGGGAGACCUAACCUCAGCAACUUCUGCAUAUAAACUCUACUUCCUUAAAAUCCAAACUAAAGUUUAAGUUGCAGCAAUGCAUCUAAAAAAAGGUUCUUGCUGGGCUAACAAGACACUCUUGUUGAGCCUAUGCAUUUGGGAGUAUACACUUCCUUAAUACAUUUAGCUUCAGACUUGAACUGAAUAUUUAAGCUCUCAAAUGUUGGAAAAGAGAGUCUUUGAUGAUGUAUUAGGAGGCUUCUGGUAACUGAUGUGUGGGAAAGGGAUGCUUAUUAUUGCUGAGUAAUUUGUUCUUUGGCUUUAGGUAUCAACACAGAAUUGUAACAGAGGAGAUCAGUUUUUAGUUCCCUGAUUUCUCCCUCACGCAUUUUAUUGGGCACAUCAUUUAAAAAACUAUGGUGGUGAUCCCAUCAUAAACUCUCUGUAAAAAAGCAUUUGUAUUACAGGCUUAGCACCGGAGUAUACUUUUUCCUUGCAGCUUCUCAUUCACUGUUCCCAACUUCUGACUUACAAGCAAUAUGUUGACCAUGAGACUAGACAAAAAUUAGAAUGUUAAAAUGAAGGACAACAAAGACGUAUAGUGUAAAGUUUCCUUGGUACAUUAUUUCCUCAUUUUUGUUUUCUAAUGGACAGAGAAAAAUGAAAUUAUACAUAGGUGCCAUUGUCAUAUCAUCUAUAAUUAUUUACAUAGAAGUGAUUGAUAGAUACCCCUAUCCACCAGGUCACAGUCCAUUGGGAAAAAUCCUUCUAGUGAGUGGGGCAUAAAACUGUUUGUUCUGAAACUCUACUUAGAGGUUAUGAACUUGCAUGUUUUGAAAAUGCAAAUGGUUACCCAAAUGCUUUCACCUGUGCAAGUGUUUCUGUCAAUGAAAGAGAAGGCAAUUGCUCAUUUUCACAUAUGCACAUGAAAGUGAACAACUGAUUUAGGGUAAAAGUCUUGAUUUUUACAGCAUCUCAGUUUAAAUUCCUCAUUUUUUCCACUUCCAUUUUUAUCUACUGGAAAAUUCUGAUAUGAAAAAUGCAUAGCUGCUGUUCAGAU